rnacentral:rRNA from 1 species
GAUGAACGCUAGCUACAGGCUUAACACAUGCAAGUCGAGGGGCAGCGCAGUGUAGCAAUACACGGGCGGCGACCGGCGCACGGGUGCGUAACGCGUAUCCAACCUUCCCGUUACUCUCGGAUAGCCUUCCGAAAGGGAGAUUAAUACGAGAUGGUGUUGAAAUUCCGCAUGUUAUUUCAACUAAAGAUUCAUCGGUAACGGAUGGGGAUGCGUGACAUUAGGUAGAUGGCGGGGUAACGGCCCACCAUGCCGACGAUCAGUAGCCGGUCUGAGAGGAUGAACGGCCACAUUGGGACUGAGAUACGGUCCAGACUCCUACGGGAGGCAGCAGUGGGGAAUAUUGGGCAAUGGGCGAAAGCCUGACCCAGCGACGCCGCGUGCAGGAAGAAGGUCUUCGGAUUGUAAACUGCUGUUGUAAGGGAGAAGAAAGUGACGGUACCUUACGAGGAAGCCACGGCUAACUACGUGCCAGCAGCCGCGGU